GGCACCAACACGGGCGAGAAGAAGGACGUCAUGGAGAACAUCAAUGACAAGCUCCCUGCUAGCCAUGGGAACCACCAGCAGACAAGUGGCACCUACGGGCAGCAGGGACACACCGAUGUGGCGACGCAUGGCCCCACAGCCACCAGUGGCACCUAUGGGCAGCAAGAAAACACUGGUACGGGGACACAUGGCGCCCCUGCCAUCCAUGGUGCCUACGGGCAGCACGGACACACCGGGGCCAUUGGGGCGGGGCUGCAUGGCGCCGACACGGGAGAGAAGAAGGGCGUCAAGGAGAACAUCAAUGACAAGCUCCCUGGUGGCCACGGGGACCACCAACAGACUGGUGGCACCUACGGGCAGCAGGGACACACCGAUGCGGCGACGCAUGGCGCAUUAGCCACUGGCAACACCACUGUGCAGCAAGGAAUCAUCGGUACGGGGACACAUGGCGCCCCGGCCACCGAUGGUGCCUACGGGCAGCACGGACACACCGGAGCCACUGGCACGAGGAUGCACGGCAUCGACACCGGCGAGAAGAAGGGCAUCAUGAAGAACAUCAACGACAAGCUGCCUAGCGGCGACAAAGACCACCAGCACACCAGUGGCACUUACGGUCAGCAGGCACAAACCGGCACGGCGAUGCAUGGCGCCUCAGCCACGGGCGACACCUAUGGCGAGCAGGGACACACCGAAAUGACCGGCUGGGGGACGCACGGCAACAACGAGAAAAAGGGCGUCAUGGAGGACAUCAAGGCCAAGCUCCCCGGUGGCGACGAUGAUCGCCAGCAAACCGGUGACACCUAUGGGCAGCAGCGACACACCGACACUGCAACACAUGGCACCCUUGCCACCGGCGACACCUACGGGCAGCAGGGACACACCGGGAUAACCGACACGGGGACAUAUGGCACCGGCGAGAAGAAGGGCGCCAUGGAGAACAUCAAGGAGAAGCUCCCUGGUGGCCAUGGUGACCACCAACAGACUGGUGGCACCUACGGGAGCCAGGAAGACACCGAAAUGACUGGAAUCGGGAUGCAUAGCACCACGGCCACAGACGGCAUAGAUGGUCAGCAGGGACACACCGGAAUGACCGGCAGAGUGUCACACGACACCGACGAGAGGAAGGGUGUCAUGGAGAACCUCAAGGAGAAGCUCCCCGACGGCCAUGACGACCACCCGCAGACUGUUCGCACCGACGAGCGCCACGCCGGCACGGGGACGCAUGACACCCCGGCCACCGACGGCACCUAUGGGCAGCACGGACACACUGGAGUGACCGACACAAAGGCGUACGGCUCUGGCGGCACAGGCGAGAAGAAGAGCAUCAUGGAGAACACCAAUCAGAAGCUCCCCGGGGGCCAGAAUGACCGCCAGCAGACCGGUGACACCUACGGGCAGCAAGGACACACCGACACAGCGACGCAUGGCACCCCGUCCACCGGCGGCACCUACGGGCAGCACGGACACACCGGAGUGACCGAUAAGGGAACACAGGGCACCGACGGCAUCGACAAGAAGAAGGAUGCCAUGGAGAACAUCAAGGAGAAGCUCCCCGUUGGCCACGAUGACCACCAGCAUACUGCUGGCACCUACGGGCAGGAUGGACACACUGGAAUGACCGGCACGGAGAUGCAUGGCACCACGGCCACCGACGGUGGGCAGCAAGGACACAACGUAACAACUGGUACUGGGACACACGGCACCGACGGGGCCGGUGAGAAGAAGAGC
rnacentral:lncRNA from 1 species